AUCGGGGCUACCAUGCAGUCGAGCGGCAAGGCAGCAAUGCCCUAGAGCGGCGCACGGGUGAGUAACGCGUAUGCAACCUACCUUUUACUGGGGGAUAGCCCGGAGAAAUUCGGAUUAAUACCCCAUGUGACUAUUAAACUGCAUAGUUAAAUGGUUAAAGAUUUAUCGGUGAAUGAUGGGCAUGCGUGACAUUAGUUAGUUGGCGGGGUAACGGCCCACCAAGACAGCGAUGUCUAGGGGUUCUGAGAGGAUGAUCCCCCACACUGGUACUGAGACACGGACCAGACUCCUACGGGAGGCAGCAGUGAGGAAUAUUGGUCAAUGGGCGCAAGCCUGAACCAGCCAUCCCGCGUGAAGGAUGAAUGUACUAUGUAUUGUAAACUUCUUUUCUGCAAAGAGAAAGGGCCCUACGUGUAGGGUUUUGACGGUAUUGCAGGAAUAAGCAUCGGCUAACUCCGUGCCAGCAGCCGCGGUAAUACGGAGGAUGCGAGCGUUAUCCGGAUUCAUUGGGUUUAAAGGGUGCGUAGGCGGCUUUUUAAGUCAGUGGUGAAAUCCUGCCGCUUAACGGUAGAACUGCCAUUGAUACUGACAAGCUUGAAUAUAGUUGAGGUAGGCGGAAUGUGCAGUGUAGCGGUGAAAUGCUUAGAUAUUGCACAGAACACCGAUUGCGAAGGCAGCUUACCAAGUUAUUAUUGACGCUGAGGCACGAAAGCGUGGGGAUCGAACAGGAUUAGAUACCCUGGUAGUCCACGCCUUAAACGAUGUUCACUCGCUGUUUGCGAUAUACCGUAAGC
rnacentral:rRNA from 1 species